rnacentral:rRNA from 1 species
UACGUAGGGGGCAAGCGUUGUCCGGAAUCAUUGGGCGUAAAGAGCGUGUAGGCGGUCCGGUAAGUCGGCUGUGAAAGUCCAGGGCUCAACCCUGGGAUGCCGGUCGAUACUGCCGGACUAGAGUUCGGAAGAGGCGAGUGGAAUUCCCGGUGUAGCGGUGAAAUGCGCAGAUAUCAGGAAGAACACCAAUGGCGAAGGCAGCUCUCUGGGACGGUACUGACGCUGAGACGCGAAAGCGUGGGGAGCGAACAGG